AGGCUAAAAGAUUCAAAAAAUUCAGGGAAAGGAAAGGGCUUAUUGAGAAAGAUGUGGUGAGAAUUGAUAGAUCGAUCCCUUUCUAUGAAGGGGAUGAUAAUCCAAAUGUAAAUAUUCUACGAGAUAUACUGUUGACUUAUUCAUUUUACAACUUUGAUCUUGGUUAUUGCCAGAGAUAACCUCUCAAGAUGAAGUGGGACCUUCAAGUGUUGUUAUUAAUUUUGAUGAUUGAAGUUUUGCCACAAUUUGUUAGUUAUCUAAAGUACAUGAUGAUUCAUACAUUGAAAGCUACAUAAGCACCAUCGGAGUUGAUUUUGGAAGCAGUACAUGUAUGAAGCAAUCAAAUCUGAUGACUUUGCUACUCUUAUAUACACAAGUGGAACUAUUGGAAAUCCAAAAG